rnacentral:rRNA from 1 species
CGGGGGGGGCAAGCGUUGUUCGGAAUUACUGGGCGUAAAGGGCUCGUAGAUGGCCAACUAAGUCGGACGUGAAAUCCCUCAACGUUAACUGGGGAACUGCGUCCGAUACUGGAUGGCUUGAGUUUGGGAGAGGGAUGCGGAAUUCCAGGUGUAGCAGUGAAAUGCGUAAAUAUCUGGAGGAACACCGAUGGCGAAAGCGGCAUCCUGGACCAACACUGACACUGAGGAGCGAAAGCCAGAGGAGCAAACAAAAUUAGAUACCCCCGAUAGUCCUGGCCCUAAACGAUGAAUGCUUGGUAUGGCGGGUAUCGAUCCCUGCCAUGCCGAAGCUAACGCAUUAAGCAUUCCGCCUGGGGAGUACGGUCGCAAGGCUG